UCGAGCGUCAUUACAACCCUCAAGCUCUGCUUGGUAUUGGGCCCUGCCAGCCCUGGCAGGCCUUAAAAUCAGUGGCGGUGCCAUUUGGCUUCAAGCGUAGUAAUUCUUCUCGCUUCUGGAGACCAGGUGUACACUUGCCAACAACCCCCAAUUUAUCAAUGGUUGACCUCGGAUCAGGUAGGGAUACCCGCUGAACUUAA
rnacentral:misc_RNA from 1 species